UAUAACUCGUUCCACCAGGAGGAGGACUACCCAGUGGUGACAUACCUAAGACAGCCUCUGUACUUUGAGGUGGAGCUUACCAGGUCCACUGACCCCAAGGUGGUGCUAUUGCUUGACCACUGCUGGGCCACGCUCAACAAGGACUGACUCCCAAUCCAGAUGGAAUCUCAUUAAUGGCUAUGAGAAACCGGAGGCUCUGUACCGUGUGGUCUUCCACCCAGUGGUGGCUGACUCCAGGGUCCACUUCCCCUCUCGCAUCAAACGCUUUGAGGUCAAGAUGUUCUCCUUCGCCAAGGAUGUGAAUUAUCUUAGUGGCAAGGGCAACGACCUCAAAGACAUCUGAGGAGCAUCCCAUAUGUUUAAUCUGGACAGGUUCUUCGUGUGUAAAUGUCCUAAUGUGAGCAAAGUUCAAAUAAAGUGUUCUACAUU